UACACGUGGAUAACUUACCCUUAGGACUAGGAUAACUCUGGGAAACUGGAGAUAACACUGGAUAUUAGGUGAUGCCUGCAAUGGUUUGCCUUUGAAAUGUUUUUUCGCCUAAGGAUAGAUCUGCGGCUGAUUAGGUCGUUGGUGGGGUAAUGGCCCACCAAGCCGAUGAUCGGUACGGGUUGUGAGAGCAAGAGCCCGGAGAUGGAACCUGAGACAAGGUUCCAGACCCUACGGGGUGCAGCAGGCGCGAAACCUUCGCAAUGUACGCAAGUGCGACGAGGGGAUCCCAAGUGUCAUUCUUAACGGGAUGGCUUUUCAUUAGUGUAAAAAGCUUUUAGAAUAAGAGCUGGGCAAGACCGGUGCCAGCCGCCGCGGUAACACCGGCAGCUCGAGUGGUAGCUGUUUUUAUUGGGCCUAAAGCGUUCGUAGCCGGUUUGAUAAGUCUUUGGUGAAAGCUUGUAGCUUAACUAUAGGAAUUGCUGGAGAUACUAUCAGACUUGAAGUCGGGAGAGGUUAGAGGUACUACCGGGGUAGGGGUGAAAUCCUAUAAUCCUGGGAGGACCACCUGUGGCGAAGGCGUCUAACUGGAACGAUCUUGACGGUGAGUAACGAAAGCCAGGGGCGCGAACCGGAUUAGAUACCCGGGUAGUCCUGGCUGUAAACGAUGUGGACUUGGUGUUGGAAUGGCCUCGAGUUGUUCCGGUGCCGAAGGGAAGCUGUUAAGUCCACCGCCUGGGAAGUACGGUCGCAAGAUUGAAACUUAA
rnacentral:rRNA from 1 species